CAGACCUCUAAUCGGAAAAGACUACCCGCUGAGUUUAAGCAUAUCAAUAAGGCGGAGGAA
rnacentral:rRNA from 1 species